AAGUCAUAACAAGGUUUUCGUAGGUGAACCUGCGAAAGGAUCAUUAAAAGAGAUUAGGCAUCGCCCAGCAAUGGGCUGCCGACCUCCAAACCUUUGAAUUACCAUCUGUGUUGCCACGGGGGAUUAACUAGAAGCCUUGAGAGAGGUGGAAGUCCCCGAUGGACCAUCCAAAACUCUUGUUUUUACCUACAGUCCGAGUCAUUUGAUUAAAUCAAAACAAAA
rnacentral:misc_RNA from 1 species